GGUAAGGUCUGUAAAUUUCUUCACACAAAGCUACAAUUCAACAGCUUACUGUCUUUAGUUUAUUUAGACCUUACAAGUUUAAUGGUAAACAAGCAUAAAAAUGUAGAUUUGAAAAAUAUACUUAGAUCAGACGCAUUUAAAAACUAGAGCAAAGCUCAUUGCAAAUCAACAAGUAUGUCUUAUAUUGCUGUUUUAAAUCAGUUAUUAAUGAAAAAAGUCUUUAAAAUCCCACAAGGAAAUUCCUAAUGAAUUAUUUUGUGUCAACACAAAUUGUACAAUGAUUUAUAUCUUUUCAUUGAAAUAUUUAUAUCAAUUCAAUUCAUUUUUCUUUUUAAAAAAUCUUUAUCAAUAUUUAUAGUGUAAUUUUUAUUACAUGCUAAUUGAAAAAAGUGUUUUUAUUUUAGGAAUGCAUAGACUAGUGGACACAUCACAGAUGGCAUCAAAUAACACAGUGUCAGAGAUUAUGAAGAACAAAUGGAUGUAGUAGUGCAGAGGUUUGUAAGAUUUCUUGGAUGCAGUUUGAAUACGAUGAAGAGGAUCCAGGAUCCAGAUAUUCGUCCUGAGCUCAAAGAUAUAGAUCCGCACUACAUUUGCUAUACAAGUUAUGACAGAAGUUUAGACUUGACUUGUCAAAUGAUAAACAGCACAUCGAAAAAGAAGUUGGACAAAAAGUGGGAUUAAUGCAUUAAAGAAACAAUUAAAGCUGCAGUGAGUGAGAACUAUUUACAGGAGAAUAACAAACUUGUGUAUUUGAUAUUUCCAACAAUAAAAA